UAUUUUCCUAGUUUUUUGAGCAGAGCAGGCAACCCUGGCAUUACAUCAGUGAUGAUCUCGGACUCUCUUUCAUUGUUUUUCCUCCUAAAUAUGUACAUGUAUAAUCUACACUACAGGCUCUUAAGACUACACAGCAAAGCUAAAUGGUCUCUCUUCUAUUGUAAUGUCACAUACACACAGGGAGUGGGCCACUAAAUCUAUUUACAAAACUAUCUGCUGAGCUACCACAACAGUUGAUAAACACACCCACAGACAUUUCUUUGGUCAACAAUGCUUUCAGUACAAGUGGUUGUCUUCUUGUUGAGUGUCAGUGAAGUUAUUAGUCAAUGUCCACCUUCCUCAGGUAUCUACCUGAGGCAUAAUGGAACCUGUUAUACUAAUAAUGGAUCAUUUUUUACUGACGGUAGCAUCAGACCAACUCCUCUAGAGUGUGCAUUACCUGGUGCUACUCUGAAUGGUGGAGAAUGGAUUGGUCCUAAUGGAGAAGUUCCUUGUGGCAAUGGUAACAAUCAAAAUGUUCAAUGUACUACUGGUUCCUCAGCUGCUAAUCUCAGUGUUUUCAUAAAUCCACCAAACUUUCUUGGGGCACCUGGUGAUGGCCAGUAUAUGUGUUGUCUACCCACUAGUUGUUCAACUCCUGGUACUAACAUCAUCACUGCUAAUAUAUUCAGUAAGAGGAGACUAUAAUCACUUACUGAUGUAAUAAUUUUUCAUUUGUAGGAU